CAUCUGACUUGUAGGAAACAUUCCGAAAGUUCCUUGAGAUCAAUUCAGGCGCCAUAUAGCCAGCAGUACCUCUAGCUGUUUUAAUGGACACUGCACUUUGAUCCUUAGAACAGAACUUGGCCAUGCCAAAAUCAGAGAUUUUCGGGCUGAAGUUGUGGUCAAGUAAGAUGUUAUGGGGCUUGAUAUCAAAGUGGAGGAUUCUCCGUUCGCACCCCUGAUGAAGAUAUUCAAUCCCUUUAGCUAUGCCAAGAGCAAUAUCUUGCAGCCUUUUCCAGCCGAGGAAAUGGCUCUUGGAGUCAGCCGAAGAUACGAAUUUUUGUAAUGAAUUUGGCAAAUACUCAUAGACUAGAGCUCUUAUAAACCCAUCAGCACAGAAUCCAAUCAAACGAAUCACAUUGACAUGGUGGAUUUUGCC
rnacentral:misc_RNA from 1 species